rnacentral:rRNA from 1 species
UGAGGAAUAUUGCGCAAUGGGGGCAACCCUGACGCAGCGACGCCGCGUGAGUGAGGAAGGCCUUCGGGUCGUAAAGCUCUGUCAAAGGGAAAGAAGUGUGCAAUGGCUAAUACCUGUUGCAUUUGACGGUACCCUUAAAGGAAGCACCGGCUAACUCCGUGCCAGCAGCCGCGGUAAUACGGAGGGUGCAAGCGUUGUUCGGAAUCACUGGGCGUAAAGGGCGCGCAGGCGGUUUGAUAAGUCAGAUGUGAAAGCCCAUGGCUUAACUGUGGAAGUGCAUUUGAAACUGUCAGACUUGAGUAUCAGAGGUGAAAGUGGAAUUCCCGGUGUAGAGGUGAAAUUCGUAGAUAUCGGGAGGAAUACCGGUGGCGAAGGCGACUUUCUGGACUGUGUCUGACACUGAGGCGCGAAAGCCAGGGUAGUGAACG